rnacentral:tRNA from 1 species
UAUAAUUUGGUGUAAAAUGCACAUUAGUUUUUGAUACUUAUAGAAAUAGUUUAAUUCUAUUAAAUAUAA